CGCCCCGGUCUUCAACUUCGGCAGCGGACAGCAGCAGCCGCCGCAGCAGGAGGCGUCGGCCGCCGCGUCCGCUACACCUGGCGUCUUCCGCUUCGGAACGCCGUCAGCUGCGCCUGCCGGGCCAGCUGCGCCGGCAUUCGGAGCGACGAACCCCGCACAGGCGGCCAACCCAUUCGUGGUGUCGGGUACCGGCGUCCCGGCCGGCCGGCGGAUCCGGACUGCCAAGCGGCGCACGAAAAAGUGAUGCCGCGGCGGGGCUGGCCGUGCGAUUGCGUGUGAGUGAGAGUGGAGCGAGCGAGCGAGCCGGACGGCCGAUCGGACCGGGCCGCGGCAGAGAGGGCCGCGCCGGCGCCACGCGUACAAAUACCAGUCAUUCCGCGCGCGCGCCGCCGUGCGGGCCACCAGUGCCGGACGGACGCCCGGCCGGCCGGCGUCCGGGGGGCGCUGACUACACCAAGGGCCUGGCGACGCAGUCUCCCCGCAAUCGUUCACGCGCAUUUGUCGCCGAGCUUGUUUAGCCCCCUCCCGUUAAUGAGAGCAGCUUCUGAACUGCCACGCCAUCUGUGAUAAGGUUCUGUGAUCUGCCAGGCCC